rnacentral:tRNA from 1 species
UCGGGGAUGGCUCAAGGUCGAGCGGCCGAUUGUUAAUCGGACGGAGGGCGCCUGCAGCGCGAAGGGAUCAAUUCCCCCACCCCGCACCA